rnacentral:lncRNA from 1 species
AAGAUUAAAUUAUGGGAGCUCAACACCUUUAUUGUCUGUCUGUCUUUCAUCUCCUUCUCCCUCUACUUUUUAGUUCUGACGAUAACCACAUUACAGAGUGAGGUGGUCAACCUACAGAGAAUGCUGUCAGCUCUCAGUCAGUCAACCACAGCCCAGAUAGUUCGUAAGUGUCAUCUCUAUUCACUAUUUUAAUGUGAUUCAAGUUACUUCUCUUUUACGUAAAAGUCUUCGUUUAUCAGGUGGUCCUUUUCUUUUUCAUAUUUCUGGUAGGGCUGGAGAAGCAGUUGGAGGAUAAGAAGAAGCAGUUGGCCACGCUGGUUGAGCAAAGUGGAAAGGGUCCAAAAAUGUCAAACCUUGAGAAUCAAAUAAGUGAAAUAGAAAAGAGAAUAGCAGAGCUAAAAGAAGAAAAUCCUGAAGCCAAGAUCACUGAGCUGACAACACAGCUUAAGGAAAGCGAGAGGCAGCUUGAGGAGAACAUAAAAAGACUGAAGAAGAAAGACAGCAAGAAUUCUUACCUGAGUGAGUUACUAUAGUAACCUGAAAUAGCCAACGACUGUUUUAAAAAUAGCUCACUGCAUAUUUUGAAUAUAAUGGACAUGCUGCUUAAGUACUUUUUUUUUUUACCUUGUUCUCAACAGAACAAAGACGUAUCUAAAAGUUCCAUGAUAACAUUUAUUUAUUUAGUGCCACUUUAAAAUACUGCAACUCACUACUUUUUUUUGUACUCGAAGUUAUGCAAAUUCUUCAUCUACAAAGGAAACUCAGAGACAUACAAAAUGCUGCAUCUCAGCAAUUCAAUGAAACUGCUGCUGAUGUUACUGGUGAGUGUUUGGACUUCAUCAAGCAUAAUAAAUAUGUAAUUAUUUUGUUGAUUUUUUAAUAUAUCAUUAACUUAAUUAAAAUAUGACUCAUACACUCUUUGAAUAUGUACCUCAUUUAUCUAAUAAUAUGUUAACAUUAGUAAUUGAAUUACAGCGCUUCAGGAACAACUAGAGGCCAGAGAGGAAGAGAGCGCCAGAUGUCAGGCCCAGAACAAAGGUAAGCCAAGAUCAGGUCCUUCCUGAUAAUUAGGCCUGGUUCACCAGUUUGUGUAACUAGCGCUUGAUGAGCAAAGCUGCUUGAAUCAUAACACAGGUAAAGAACCAGAAGCACACGUCUCAACAGUGUUACGGUCGUCAGGAGACACGACCAAGCACAGCGUGAUUGGAGUUCCACAUCUUUAUUUUAGUGAAACUUAAACAAACCAAGAAACAA